GUCAGUUUGGCCGAGUGGUCUAAGGCGCUUGACUUGAAAUCAAGUCCCUUCGGGGGCACAGGUUCGAACCCUGUAGCUGACG
rnacentral:tRNA from 2 species